GACGUAGGGUGCGAGCGUUGUCCGGAUUUAUUGGGCGUAAAGAGCUCGUAGGCGGCUCGUCGCGUCGACCGUGAAAACCCGCGGCUUAACUGCGGGCUUGCGGUUGAUACGGGCGGGCUAGAGUUCGGUAGGGGAGACUGGAAUUCCUGGUGUAGCGGUGAAAUGCGUAGAUAUCAGGAGGAACACCGGAGGCGAAGGCGGCCAUCUGGCGAGACACUGACGCUAAGGCGCGAAAGCGUGGGUAGCAAACAGG
rnacentral:rRNA from 1 species